AGCAUGUGGUUUAAUUCGACGCAACGCGAAGAACCUUACCAGGGCUUGACAUCCCCUGACCGCGUAUGAAAGUACGUUUUCACCCUCGGGGUGACAGGGAGACAGGUGGUGCAUGGUUGUCGUCAGCUCGUGUCGUGAGAUGUUGGGUUAAGUCCCGCAACGAGCGCAACCCCUACGUUUAGUUGCUAGCGCGUGAAGGCGAGCACUCUAGACGAACUGCCGUUGACAAAACGGAGGAAGGUGGGAUGACGUCAAAUCAUCAUGCCCCUUAUGUUCUGGGCUACACACGUGCUACAAUGGCCGGUACAGACGGACGCAAAGCCGCGAGGUGGAGCAAAUCCUAGAAAGCCGGUCUCAGUUCGGAUUGCAGGCUGCAAUUCGCCUGCAUGAAGUCGGAAUCGCUAGUAAUCGCAGGUCAGCAUACUGCGGUGAAUACGUUCCCGGGCCUU
rnacentral:rRNA from 1 species